UACGUAGGGGGGCAAGCGUUGUCCGGAUUUAUUGGGCGUAAAGAGCGUGUAGGCGGUUUGGUAGGUCCGUUGUGAAAACUCGAGCUCAACCUCGAGACGCCGGCGGAAACCAUCAGGCUGGAGUCCGGAAGAGGAGAGUGGAAUUCCUGGUGUAGCGGUGAAAUGCGCAGAUAUCAGGAAGAACACCCGUGGCUAAGGCGGCUCUCUAGUACGGUACUGACGCUGAGACGCGAAAGCGUGGGGAGCGAACAGG
rnacentral:rRNA from 1 species